CGCAUCUGUGCAUGCAGCAUAUCAAUAAGCGGAGGAAAAGGAACUAACAAGGAUUCCCUUAGUAACGGCGAGUGAAGCGGGAAGAGCUCAAAUUUGAAAUCUUCAAGGUUUUACCUUGACGAAUUGUAGUUUAAAGAAGUGUUUUCUGUUGAAGUUUUGGUAAAAGUUCUUUGGAAUAGGACAUCAUAGAGGGUGAGAAUCCCGUAUUUGACCAUUAUUUUCAGCUGUGUGAUACACUUUCAAAGGAGUCGGAUUGUUUGGGAAUGCAGUCCAAAAUGGGUGGUAAAUUUCAUCUAAAGCUAAAUAUUGGCGAGAGACCGAUAGCGAACAAGUACCGUGAGGGAAAGAUGAAAAGAACUUGGAAAAGAGAGUUAAACAGUACGUGAAAUUAUCAAAAGGGAAGCGUUUGACACCAGUGUUGUUUUCUCGAAAAUCAAUUAAAAAGAGUUAGAUUUUGUUGUGUAUUGACCUUAAUAGCUUGCAUUUCAAUUUUCUUGCUCUUUUUAAUGCACUUUUCGUUUAACAAGUCAACAUCAGUUUCUUUUGUUGUAAAAAGGUCAUUGGAAGGUGGCUUUCUUUUCGGAGAAAGUGUUUAUAGCCUUUGACUCCUGCAAUCGGAGAGACUGAGGUCUGCAGCGUAGAUCCUUCGGGGUUAAAUAGCAUUUGUGCUAAGUUAUAGCAUUUUAUAGACAACUUGUUGACUAUGAUUUGUCUUGUAGCUUACUCGCUUAUGUUAUUUUACCUACGCUUAGGAUGUUGAUCUCUCACAGUCGAGC
rnacentral:rRNA from 1 species